AGUAAAUGAUAAAUGAUAUAUGAACUGCUAGUGUCUGUUUAUUAUUAUUUAUCAGCACACACUGUCUGAUUCACUGCACAUACGUUUUGCGCUGAAAUACUGAUCAUCUCUUUUAAUUGACAGUUUUCACUUGCCAAACCAAGAGCAGCAAAUAAAUGAAGUGUGUGAUUACCAACAAAUGUAGAUCAUCUGCUGGUGGAAUAAGCACAAAACAAACACAAACGCCUAAAGCUUUGUGAUGAUCUCUUACCAAACGCAUCAGAGAGAUCGAAUCCUGCAGCAUUAUCUGGAGGAAACACAGAAGCACAUGUAAACACGAAGCUGAACGUGACGGACACUACUGACGGCAAUAGAGAGGAAAAUAUGUCCUAGUCAAAACCACAUGAUUAUUUCAGGCUUCCCAGCCCUCCGUCCGAUGCAUUUCUUUGACUUUUCCAGGCCUUUACGGUUACAGGAUAUUUGAAGGAUUUUAAAAAUCAUUUUUAUUAAAGAUUGCAUUCGGAAAGAGCAGCUUCUGGCUAUGA